AUAUAUAGUGAACAUCUUCUUUUAAACUAAACUAAACUUGGGUUCUAAUCCCCCAAACCCGAAAGAAAGAAGGAAAAAGAGGGUAUUUCGUAGUAUGUCCAUCAAUGAACAAGUGACGACUCAGCUUUAAUCUCGGUACCAACGGUCGAAUCUUCUCUUAGAUAUUCCAAAGUCCAAUGUUUUUCUAUAAUUUCUUAAAUUCCUCAAUUUAAAUUAUUUACAAAUUUACCAUCUUUGGUUUAUUUAUUUGUUUCACGUUGACCUUUCGUUCUUGGCAGUACAAUUCUCUACAGGUGCACCAAAUUUCUUUCUUUUUCUUAUCUUGUGCUUCUUACUGAAGUUUGGGUGAAUACCCAGUUGCUUGUUUUGGAUUCUCAAUUGUUAUUCUGCUUCCUUUGCAGUAGAAUCAGUAAGUAGAGGUAUUUCUUUGGUGUAUUUGUACCCUUGCAAUGUAAGCCUAUUGUGGGAAUUUGAUUGGGCUUUCCAUUUUGAUGGGUUCAUUUGGUUGAUAAUAUCGGUGUGUAUAUGCCAGUGUUUUGCAAUUCAAUUCUGCUUUCAAGGGGGAAAGAUAGUAUCUUGAAGUGCUUUUGAGCUAUAUAUUAUGCUGGUUACUGUAUUAAGUCUGUCUGAAUUUUUAUGAUGACUAUAUUGACAGUGCUAGUUAAGUACAAGGUUAGCACGGUUAAUAAUAUCAGCCCAGGUACCGUGCUCGGAAAAAAAAAAAAAAAUAUCUUGGUUGGGAUGAGAGGACUAAUUUUGUUGUCCUUGGCAAUAUUUUUGGUUCUUACAACCCUUCAAGAAGCAUGGUCACAUGGGGAUCAGCCUCUGUCAAAAAUUGCGAUUCAUAAGGCAACAGUUGAUCUUAAUCGCGAUGCUUAUAUUAAAGCUUCUCCUACAGUCCUCGGAUUAAAGGAGCAAACUACAGAAUGGGUGACAUUGGAGUAUGGUUUCCAAAGCCAUCAGCUGAUGAUUGGAUAGGAGUAUUUUCUCCUGCCAAUUUCAAUGCUUCCACCUGCCCUGAAGUAAACCCUAGAGUUUAUCCUCCACUACUAUGUUCUGCACCUAUCAAGUAUCAGUUUGCAAACUACUCCAGUCCUGAGUACAAAGACACUGGUAAAGGAUAUUUGAAGCUUCAGCUGAUUAAUCAGAGAUUAGAUUUCUCAUUUGCACUAUUUUCUGGUGGCUUAUCAAAUCCUAAGCUAGUGGCAGUUUCAAAUCAAGUACCUUUUGCAAAUCCAAAUGCACCAGUUUACCCACGCUUAGCUCAAGGGAAACAAUGGAAUGAAAUGACUGUGACAUGGACAAGUGGAUAUGGGAUCAAUGAAGCAGGAGCUUUUGUUGAGUGGGGUCCAAAAGGAGGUGACCAAGUGCAUUCUCCAGCUGGGACACUGACUUUCGAUCGUAACAGCAUGUGUGAUGCACCGGCAAGGACAGUGGGAUGGCAGGAUCCUGGAUUUAUACAUAUGAGUUUUCUGAAUGAGUUGUGGCCCAAUGCAGUAUAUACUUACAAGCUGGGGCAUAAAUUGUUCAAUGGUACAUAUGUUUGGAGUCAACAAUUAUCAGUUUAGUGCAUCUCCUUAUCCUGGUCAAAAUUCUCUACAACGUGUAGUUAUUUUUGGUGACAUGGGGAAGGAUGAAGUUGAUGGUUCCAACGAAUAUAACAAUUUCCAGCGUGGCUCUCUUAACGCUACUCGAGAGCCUAUUAGAGACUUAAAGAACAUUGAUAUAGUUUUCCACAUUGGAGAUAUUUGUUAUGCAAAUGGAUACAUUUCACAGUGGGACCAAUUUACUGCACAGGUUGAGCCAAUUGCAUCAACAGUGCCAUACAUGAUUGCAAGUGGUAACCAUGAGUGUGACUGGCCAGGGACUGGAUCAUUCUAUGGGAAUAUGGACUCUGGGGGGCGGAAUGUGGCGUGUUGGCGAAGACUAUGUUUUAUGUCCCUGCUGAGAACAGAGCCAAAUUCUGGUACUCCACCGAUUAUGGCAUGUUCCACUUCUGCAUAGCUGACACUGAACAUGACUGGAGGGAAGGAACUGAGCAGUACAAGUUCAUUGAGCAUUGCUUGGCAUUAGUUGAUAGGCAAAAGCAACCAUGGCUAAUUUUUCUUGCACAUCGAGUACUUGGUUAUUCAUCUGGUAUCAGUUAUGCAGUUGAAGGAUCAUUUGAGGAACCAAUGGGGAGGGAGAGCCUGCAAAAGCUCUGGCAGAAAUACAAGGUGGACAUUGCUGUGUAUGGCCAUGUGCACAAUUAUGAAAGGACAUGUCCCAUAUACCAGAAUAUUUGCACCAAUGAAGAGAAGCACUACUAUAAGGGCACCUUGAAUGGAACAAUUCAUGUGGUUGCUGGUGGUGCAGGAGCAAGCCUUUCACCCUUUACAACCCUCCAAACCAAAUGGAGUUUCUUUAGAGACUAUGACUAUGGAUUCAUAAAACUUACAGCAUUUGACCAUUCAAACCUGUUGUUUGAGUACAAGAAGAGCAGGGAUGGAAAGGUUUACGACUCUUUCAGAAUCUCCCGGGAUUACAGGGAUAUCUUGGCUUGCACUGUGGAUAGUUGCCCAAGCAUGACCCUAGCAUCUUGAAUGACGAGGCUUCUUGUAGUGAAAUCACAUUAGUUAUGAUUGUCUUCUUUUUCUUUUUUUUUAAUUACAAUUGUGACUGUCUUACCACAAUAAAAUUGUGAAUAAGUAAUCUCUUCUUUAGCAAAAAAACAAAGAAAAAAGGAAUAAGUAAUCUCUUAUCAAGAUUAUUACUUGAAUGCUAGAGACAGGUUGCUAUAUCUGUAAGAAACCAAAGAUAUAUAAAUAUGUAGGCAUUUGUUUUUAGUUGAGUUGCUGAAACUUUUA